AGUGAACGCUGGCGGCGUGCUUAAUACAUGCAAGUCGAACGAUGAAGUCCUAGCUUGCUAGGAUGGAUUAGUGGCGCACGGGUGAGUAAUAUAUAGUUAAUCUGCCUUGCACUGAGGAACAACAGUUGGAAACGAUUGCUAAUACCUCAUACUCCAACUUUACAUAAGUUAAGUUGGGAAAGUCUUUUCGGUGCAAGAUGAGACUAUAUCGUAUCAGCUAGUUGGUAAGGUAAUGGCUUACCAAGGCUAUGACGCGUAACUGGUCUGAGAGGAUGAUCAGUCACAUUGGAACUGAGACACGGUCCAAACUCCUACGGGAGACAGCAGUAAGGAAUAUUGUGCAAUGGGGCAAACCCUGACGCAGCAACGCCGCGUGGAGGAUGACACUUUUCGGAGCGUAAACUCCUUUUGUUAGGGAAGAAUAAUGACGGUACCUAACGAAUAAGCACCGGCUAACUCCGUG
rnacentral:rRNA from 1 species